rnacentral:lncRNA from 1 species
AUUGCAGUGCCAAAUAAAGAAAGUUUUCCGAGAAUUAACAGCAGGACAAUGGUCCGCUUGUUGUAUAUAAUAAAUAUCACACUGGUGUUGUAUAUGUGUAGCCGGUGCUAGAAUUUACAUAUGCAUGCUCCACAACCUAUGUUCGUACAAACACAGAUCAUACCGAACGAAAAAUAUGCUCUGGUCGGAAAGCAGAGUCCUGGACAAAAGUGAAGUUCACAAAAGACAAUCAUACAUAGGCCAUUGCUUCAACUCGUAGUUUAGGCCUUGCCAGACUCCUCGCAACCCGGUGGCCUGAAUGCGAUGAAGCUGACGCACUGCACCUGGCGCAGGUUGUCGAAGCCGAUGACGCGGACAUAGGCGUCAGGGUACUCCUUCUUGACCUCCUCCACCUCGUUGAGCACCUGCGUGGCGUCGGUGCACCCGAACAUAGGCAGCUUCCACAUUGUCCAGUAUCGGCCGUCGUAGUACCCGGGGGAGCUGUUGUGCUCACGAAAGACGAAGCCAACCUUGCUGAACUCGAGGCAGGGCACCCACUUGGAGCGGAUCAGGUAGUCGACCUGCUUCAGGAGGGCCUCCGUGGAGAGGGGUGGCAAGUAAGACAGGGUCUCGAACUUCUUGAUGCCCUCAAUCGGCCACACCUGAGUGAAUGGAAAUUAUGGAAUGCACACAACUGCUUAACACUUCGUGCUAGUAAAUUGUACGUACUGAGGAAGAAACUCAUAUCAGUUUUGUGCCUCGACAUACCUGCAUGCACCUGAUCCUUCCGCCAUUGCUGACGCUGCCGAGGCUGCCGCUGGAGCGGCGGCUGACGGGCAGACCGGCCGUGGACUUGAGCCCCUGGAAGGGUGCGACGGUGGUAGCCGACGAAGCCAUCACGGCGGGGGCCAUGGUAUUGUAUUAUCGGCGGAGAGGAGGAUGCUGGCUACACUUGAGGCCCCAUUGCCGGGUCACUACCGUAUAUAUAGCCAGACACUUAGCGCCGUUUCUUUGGUACAGAUGUGGCUGGGGUGGCUGACGUUCUCUGGUUGCCUCGUUUCCUUAUCUUCUCCGGAUCAGUGGAAGAAGCAUGGCCGUCGGAUGCAUUGUGUGUGCUGGAAAUUUCAGUCCUUCAUGUCAUUGGGUGGCUGCCACACAACCUUUUUCCAGCUUUUCUUGUUUUUGGUUUCAUUUAAAGCCAAAAGUUUCUCGAGUACAAAUUUUCUGAGAUGCGACUUGAGUGGCGCGGGCAAAAUAUUUUACAUUUUAUCAUAAAAUCUGAUGGCUCAUUCCCUCGAAAGUAUGCCCAUAGACAUAGAGUGUGCGUGUGUGCAUUUAUAGGGGUUAUUGUACAGGCGUGUAUGCAAACGUCUACUAUUGUACACCGUUUCUCGAAAUAAAAUAUAUGUUUUGUUGGUACAAUUAAUUGAACUAGCAUAGUAACCGUCCACACAUAGAACAAGUUCUUUCCCUCUUGCAAGGCAACUAUUGAAAGCUCUCCACCUCUCUAUCUGCCAGUGAGCCUAUGGAUCCGCCUUCCCUCUGCGGGAAGGGCAUUCUUGGUGGCUCAGCUCUGGCUAGUAGAUAAGUAGGGUUUUAGUCCUCAUAGGUGAGGCGCUUGGACGGAUGGCGGCCCUUCUUCUUUGAGCCAAUCUUUCGGGAUCCGAUCCUCUUCAAGUUCCUCUGUCUGGGGAGUUCCGACAUAGAUUCCUGCCAGCUCCUCAAGCGGCGAGGUUAGGAAUUCUCGUCAUGCAUACGCACAUUGAGAUUUGGUGUCAGAUUCUUUAGACCGAUUCAGGGAUUCAACGGCGACGACUGCGGCUCCAGAGCACUGGUUCUUAUGGGCACGUGCAUGAAGACUUCCUGACUGUCAUCGACAAGGUUAGGAUAGCUCCAGAGUGGGAGCAACGACAACGGUGUGUUAGUGGCUCGUCUCUGUGAGUAGGAAGGAAAAAAAGCCCUAUAUCUCGACAUUUUGACAACUAUGUGACAAUGGGAUUGAGCUACUCCAUACCUUCUUUUAAACACUAGUGGGUAGGAAUGAAAAGCUCUAUAUCUCAACUAUUAACACGUAUGGCUAAAUCUGUACCUUGAAUUAUAGGAUAUGCCAAUUGAUCAAUGGUGGGCGGUCUCCCACAUAACAUUGUCUCUCAAAUAGAGCUGCAAAUGAGUCGAGUUCGAGCAAGUUGGACUUGGCUCAGCUCAACUCAUAUUAAAAUUCGAGCGAGCUCAAACUGAGUGAAGCUUAAGGUCAAGCUGUAGAAUAUGACUCAUGCUUAGCUUGUAAUGAUCUCGAGUCGAUCUCGAGCUAGUUUCGAGUUAAAUGAGAUGAUAUAAAAUAUAAAAUUUAUGACUAUUAUUCCAACUAGAUAAGCACAACACGGCAUAAAAAAGCACAAAAAAUAUUAUUCCAAUCAGAACGAGGAUAAUACAACUUUCUUUUGAAAUGAUACAAAUUUGUUAGAAAUAGUUUAACUUAUUCUAUCACAACCGAAAGUCUAGUAUCAACAUAAGAUAACGAUUCAUGACAUAUAUAUAAUUGGGAAAACGAAGAUGCAUAUGCUGGGAACUCUUGCCAGAAAUAACAUAAUAUUUAACACAUAGCGGACCACGUACCAUAAUAAAGCCUAAAUUUUCUCUAUAACUAAUUAAGCUUCGAUGUUCGUUUGUAAAUAAAACGGAGAAAAAUCCUGGAUGACAUAUAUGGUAUUAAAUUAUCGUAUUUUCAUUUAUUAUAUGGCAUGAUCAUUUAACAUAAUGAUAUUAUGCCGAGCUAUGGAGCGAGCCAGUAUUGGUUCAAGAUCAGCCCGUUUCUCGACUAAGCUACAUGAAGUGUUCGUACUCAACUCAUUUCUUUUUGAGUCGAGUGAAAAAACGAGUCGAUCUCGAGCCGCUCACGAGCCUCAAGCUUUUCUUCCAGCCCUAAUCUCAAGCAACGUCAUGUUGAGACAACUCAAUCAUCAUACUUUCCAUCCCAUAUCAGUGGCGGAUAAUGGAAAGACAUUAGUAUCACAAGGCCUGGACCGAAGGCAAUAAGUUCUAUGGAAAACCGUGAUCCCCAGAAUAAUUGUGUUCCUCUCAUGAUAUCGAUGCCCUGUCACCUGGAGGUCUCUCGAUUUGCACCUGGAGUUGAACGUCUCCAACUACACCAAUUGAUCAGAUGUCUCCAAUCACUAAAUUACCGCAAGAGUAAAUAAUAACAUGAAGAGGAAAAACAUGACUAAACAACGCAUAUCGAAUAACAGCUUACAGCUGAUCGACCCAUAGCCAAUGAUUACUCAAAUAACAUCACAUAUAAAAGGGUUUAAGAGGUGUUACAACCCAUUACAGAGACCGUGAUGGGAGGGGGAACGAGAAGGGCUAUGGGUGAGGACGAUGCGGCGACGACAACACUUCUCCGGCAUUGCCUCUUCAAGGUUGCAAUGAUGGAGAUGGAGGCUUGGCACAACCCUCAAGUGCUUUUUGAUGUCGAUGGCAUCUGAACAUAUGGAUUGUGUCCCCGAGUGGCUAGGGUUGGAGGUGUAUUUAUAAGAACUAGCCCCCUUCGUUGAUGUAGCAUCUCUACUUUGAUACAAGUGCUCUAGGUGAGCCCAAUCUUUCCCAAAACAUCCCUUCAUGGCAAAGAAAGUAGUAGGAAUUAACCGGGACAAAAUCCUCAAAGAAUCCUGUCUGAAAGGGCAACUUUCGUGCUUGUCUAGGCCUAAUACGAGCACUGGUACAACCAUUUUUUUAUGUAUCAAAGUUCGUCGAUCGCUUUGGACUCUUUGGUAAAACCGCCGAAACUUUUACAUCCGGACUCUGUUUUUGAUGUUCAUAUGCUCGUUGGAAUCAUGAUAACAGCGCUGAUGCACUUGUGAUAUUAGAUAUUGAUUGUGAGCACUUUGGAAAAUGACCUUUUUCACCCUCUGAAAUGCCCAAGUCUGGUGUCUCGAUGUCCUUCGUUUGGAUUCUUUUCAUCAUGUUAAGUGCAUGAGAGUUCCACAUCACGUACAAACACACAAAGACAAAGAAUACUAAUAAGAAUAAAUAAAGAAUAAACAUUAUGCAAUGCUCGCGCUGCAAAUGUUAAACACUAGAGAUCAUGCAUAUGGACAAUGUAAUUGGCUCAAUGGCACAUGCUAUACGAGAUAAUAGGCGACAAAUGAGCUCUAAACGUGCGUAAAAAUAGGAGCCAUCACUAGGAUCAACGAGAUAUUAUCUUGUGGAACACCUUCCAUCCUUUUGAAUGGUGAGCCCGGUAGACAAUUCCAGUGAAAACAUGGAGUUCACCAAGGCGGCCCACUGUUACCACUUCUAUUUUUAUUGGUAGUGGAUUUACUUCAGUCUAUCCUCAGUGACAUUUAUCAUUGUGGGGAGAUCUUUCAAUCCCAUCUCAUGAUCUAGAAUCUCCAAUUGUCCACUAUGUUAAUGAUAUAUUGUUGAUUAUGCCGGAUAUUGAUUCUCAGCUUCUUGACCUAAAAGAAAUGUUACAACUUUUGUCUAAAUCCACUUGCUUGAAAGUGAAUUUUUGAAAAUCCUCCAUGGUUCUUAUAAAUGUGAUUGCCAAUGAAUCUUCUCAUUGGCCAGUUUGUUUGAGUGUCAACAGGGUAAGAUGCCUUUCACUUACCUGGUUUACCUAUGGGUAACACUAGGCCCAAGAUCUAGGACUUAAUGCCUUUGGUUGAUAUAAUGAAAAGGAAAUUGGCAGCCAUCUCUUCUCUACUCUCACAAGGCGCUAAAUUGAAACUUUUGAGGUCUGCCAUUUCAUCUAUACCGAUAUACUAUCUUUGUAGUUUGUAGACCCCCCCUUGGUAUAAUUAAACAACUGGAGAGAAUUGAGCAGAAUAUAUCUGGCGUGGCAAUGCUGAAAGCAUAAAUCGACCAUUCGCGAUAUGUCAUCUGGUUUGUAAACCAAAAGGAGAAUGGUUGUAUCGGUAUCAUUAACCAUCAUAUUCAGGACCAACCUUUGCUUACAAAAUACUUGUACAAAUUUUAUAAUAAAGCUCAUAUUCCAUGGGUAACUUUGAUAUAGACUUCUUACUAUCAUGGAGUCAUACCUGACGCAACAGUUCUUUGUGGCUCUUUCUGGUGGAGGGAUAUUUGGGAACUUAAUGAUCAGUACAUGGCAAUCUCUUCAAUCAAAGUUAAUACUGGCAACUUUGCCCUGUUCUUGCUUGAUGCCUAGUUGAUUGAGGGAUCUUCUCUACCUCUUCGACAUCAUUUGGAAGGCUCUUUUCAUUGCCUUGGAUAAAAAAAAUCUGUUAAAGAUUUUACAGAAACCCCUGAUCGGACCACUCUUUUGCGCCUGCCAAUUUCUGCUGAGGCGAUAGAUGAAUUGCGACCUAUGGAUGGUUGGUUACAUAGCCUUCAGCGAAAGAUGUUUUUUCUUGGUAAGGAGGAUCAUUUUCCGCCAAAAGCUUCUACUGCAUGAUGCACAAGCACAUGCCCACCGAUGAACCUCUUGCGAAUGGAUAUGAUAGAGCACCAUGAAGAUCAAGAUCUUUGCUUAGAUCCUAUUGUUUUAUCGGUUGAACGCUUGGAACAUGCUUCUUAGAAGGCACUGGCUUUCUCCUCGGGAUGAAACCCAUUGUGCUCACAUCAGGAGAGAGACCACUUGUUUUUCUCCUGUAAUUUUAGUCAAAGGAUUUGGACUUAUUUUACAGAUUGAUUGGAGCCCCAGAUGAAACGCUAGACAAUGUAUUGAUGUUGCAUGUAAACGAUUUGGAUACCAGUGGCGGCGCCAAGAUUUUGAGGGUGGGUAUUCAUUGGCACAAAAAAAUUACUCUAAAUGUAUUAUAAAGACACCAGUACAACAAUAGUAAUUUUUUAAUGCAUCAAACCAUACUAAUUAUACAUAAACAUAAAGACACCAGUACCUUUUGAUUGACAGAUUGGUGAUAUCCCAUCUUACAAUAUAACUUUGCGAUUGCCUUUUUGGAAGAGAUUGAUGACAUCCUCAUCCUUUACUUGAUUGAAGAAUUCUCUCUCAACAAAUGUAACCAAACAAUUGUUCAAGUAAUCAUCACCCAUUUUGCUCCUUAGCUUAUUCUUCACAUAGUUCAUUGAAGAGAACACCCUUUCAACACUAGCAGUAGCUACUGGCAGAAUUAAUACCAACUUAAGAAGCUUGUAAACAAUAUAGUAUUGUUCAUGCUUGUUUGUCUCGACAAGCAUAACUGAAAGCUCACAUAGAUUCUUCAAGUUUUGAAACCUUUCAUCUCUACGCACAUGAGUAACAUACAUGUUUAGUUGCCAUGGAAGUCUUGCCAGUUCAUCACUUGUGAAAUCACUAGCAUAAAACUUUGUAGCAAGCCUAACCAAUUUCUCUUGAUCAUAAGCAGCAAAUAGACGAAGUGGACAAAAUGCUGCCAUGCAAGAAAGUAGAUCUGUGUUUACCUCAUCAAAUCUGCCAUUCAACUCACUAAUUUGCAUAUCAAUGACACUCGCAUACAUAUCAACUUUGAAGCGAUGGUAAUUCGUUGCACCAUUAAAGAAACCCCUUCUAGGCUGGCCAGCGGGAAAGUAAGGACCCUCCAUAUCAACAAUUUUGAUCUUAUGCUUUGUACAAAAAGAUGUGACCUUUUUGAGAAAAUCAUCCCAUCCAGGAUCAGUCCUCAAACCCUCCAAGUGAUACUUUGUGAUAUCAACAAGCUCAAUAGCAUGAACAAUAUCUUGGUCUUGCUUUUGCAAAGCUCUACUCAACUCAUCUGUGUAUCCAAAUAUUUGUUGCAUCAAGUGUGCCAUGAAAACAAACUCUAAUGAUCGAAAUGAUGUCAAUAUGGUUAGAGCCGCUUGCGCCUCCACACCAUGGUACUCUUUUCCAAUCUUGAUGAGGACUCGUUGUAUUGCACCAUACAUACAGAUGACAUGGUUCACGGGUUUGAAGUGAGAGCCCCAACGUGUAUCACAUGGCCUUCCCAAACCCAUUUCCUGAUUCAGCCCACUCCCGGUUUCUACUUCUUCCAAUUCCAAUGCAUCAAUGAGUUCCUCAGCCUGAGCUAUACGAAGCAUUCUCAUAUUUUUACAAGACAUGCCAAGAGAAUUUAACAAGUGUGCAAGUUGUUGAAAGAACUGUUGGGGAACGUAGCAGAAUUCUAAAAUUUUCUACGCAUCACCAAGAUCAAUCUAUGGAGUCAUCUAGCAACGAGGGAGAGGGGAGUGCAUCUACAUACCCUUGUAGAUCGCGAACGGAUGCUUUCAAGAGAACGGGGUUGAUGGAGUCGUACUCGUCGUGAUCCAAACCACCGAUGACCUAGCGCCGAACGGACGACACCUCCGCGUUCAACACACGUACGGUUGGAAGACGUCUCCUCCUUCUUGAUCCAGCAAGGGGAAGGAGAGGUUGAUGGAGAUCCAGCAGCAUGAUGGCGUGGUGGUGGAAGCAGCGGUGAUCUCGGCAGGGCUUCACCAAGCUCCAACGAGAGAGAGAGAGAGGUGUUACGCGGGGAGAGGGAGGCGCCAGAGACUUGGUGCGGCUGCCCUCCCCCCACUUUAUAUAGGGCCCCUAGGGGGGCGCCGGCCCUAGGAGAUGGGAUCUCCAAGGAGGGGCGGCGGCCAAGGGGGACUUGCCCCCCAAGCCAAGUGGGGCGCCCCCCACCCCUAGGGUUUCCAACCCUAGGCGCAGGGGGAGGCCCAUGGGGGGCGCAUCAGCCCACCAGGGGAUGGUUCCCCUCCCACUUCAGCCCAUGGGGCCCUCCGGGAUAGGUGGCCCCGCCCGGUGGACCCCCGGGACCCUUCCGGUGGUCCCGAUACAAUACCGAUUACCACCAAAACUUUCCCGAUGGCCGAAACUAGACUUCCUAUAUAUAAAUCUUCACCUCCGGACCAUUCCGGAACUCCUCGUGACAUCCGGGAUGUCAUCCGGGACUCCGAACAACUUUCGGCUUACCGCAUACUAAUAUCUCUACAACCCUAGCGUCACCGAACCUUAAGUGUGUAGACCCUACGGGUUCGGGAGACAAGCAGACAUGACCGAGACGACUCUCCGGUCAAUAACCAACGUCAGGAUUUGGAUACCCAUGUUGGCUCCCACAUGUUACACGAUGAUCUCAUCGGAUGAACCACGAUGCCGAGGAUUCAAUCAAUCCUGUAUUCAACUCCCUUUGUCAAUCGGUACGUUACUUGCCCGAGAUUCGAUCGUCGGUAUUCCAAUACCUCGUUCAAUCUCGUUACCGGCAAGUCACUUUACUCGUUCCGUAACACAUCAUACCGUGACCAACCCUUAGCCACAUUGAGCUCAUUACAAUGAUGUUUUACCGAGUGGGCCCAGAGAUACCUCUCCGUCAUGCGUAGUGACAAAUCCCAGUCUCGAUUCGUGCCAACCUAACAGUCACUUUCGGAGAUACCCGUAGUGGACCUUUAUAGUCACCUAGUUACGUUGUGACGUUUGGAACACCCAAAGAAUUCCUACAGUAUCCAAGAGUUGCACAAUCUCAUGGUCUAAGGAAAAGAUACUUGACAUUCGAAAAGCUCUAGCAGAUGAACUACACGAUCUUGUGCUAUGCUUAAGAUUGGGUCUUGUCCAUCACAUCAUUCUUCUAAUGAUGUGAUCCCCGUGAUCAAUGACAUCUAAUGUCCAUAGUCAGGAAACCAUGACUAUCUGUUGAUCAACGAGCUAGUCAACUAGAGGCUCACUAGGGACAUGUUGUGGUCUAUAUAUUCACACAUGUAUUACGAUUUCUGGAUAACACAAUUAUAGCAUGAACAAUAGACAAUUAUCAUGAACAAGGAAAUAUAAUAAUAACCAUUUUAUUAUUGCCUCUAGGGCAUAUUUCCAACAGUCUCCCACUUUCACUAGAGUCAAUAAUCUAGUUACAUUGUGAUGAAUCGAACACCCAUAGAGUUCUGGUGUUGAUCAUGUUUUGCUCGAGGAAGAGGUUUAGUCAACGGAUCUGCGACAUUUAGGUCCGUAUAAACUCUGCAAAUAUCUAUGUCUCCAUUUUGUACAUUUUCACGAAUGGAGUUGAAGCGACGCUUGAUAUGCCUGGUCUUCCUGUGAAACCUGGGCUCCUUGGCAAGGGCAAUAGCUCCAGUGUUGUCACAGAAGAGAGUCAUCGGGCCCAACGCAUUGGGAAUAACUCCUAGGUCGGUAAUGAACUCCUUCACCCAGAUUACUUCUUGUGCUGCCUCUGAGGCUGCCAUGUACUCCGCUUCACAUGUAGAUCCCGCCACGACGCUUUUCUUGCAACUGCACCAGCUGACUGCCCCACCAUUCAAAAUAUACACAUAUCCGGUUUGUGACUUAGAGUCAUCCAGAUCUGUGUCGAAGCUAGCAUCGACAUAACCCUUUACGACGAGCUCUUCAUCACCUCCAUAGACGAGAAACAUAUCCUUAGUCCUUUUCAAGUACUUCAGGAUAUUCUUGACCGAUGUCCAGUGUUCCAUGCCGGGAUUACUUUGGUACCUUCCUACCAAACUUACGACAAGGUUUACAUCAGGUCUGGUACACAGCAUGGCAUACAUGAUAGACCCUAUGGCCGAGGUAUAGGGGAUGACACUCAUCUUUUCUCUAUCUUAUGCCAUGGUCGGGCAUUGAGCUGUGCUCAAUCUCACACCUUGCUAUACAGGCAAUAACCCCUUCUUGGACUGAUCCAUAUUGAACUUCUUCAAUAUCUUGUCAAGGUAUGUACUUUGUGAAAGACCAAUGAGGCGUCUCGAUCUAUCUCUAUAGAUCUUGAUGCCUAAUAUAUAAGCAGCUUCUCCAAGGUCCUUCAUUGAAAAACACUUGUUCAAGUAGGCCUUUAUGCUUUCCAAGAAUUCUAUAUCAUUUCCCAUCAAUAGUAUGUCAUCCACAUACAAUAUGAGAAAUGCUACGGAGCUCCCACUCACUUUCUUGUAAACGCAGGCUUCUCCAUAAGUCUGCGUAAACCCAAACGCUUUGAUCAUCUCAUCAAAACGAAUGUUCCAACUCUGAGAUGCUUGCACCAGCCCAUAAAUCGAGCGUUGGAGCUUGCACACCUCGUCAGCAUUCUUAGGAUCGACAAAACCUUCCGGCUGCAUCAUAUACAAUUCUUCCUUAAGGAAACCAUUAAGGAAUGCCGUUUUGAUGUCCAUUUGCCAUAUCUCAUAAUCAUAGAAUGCGGCAAUUGCUAACAUGAUUCGGACGGACUUCAGCUUCGCUACGGGUGAGAAAGUCUCAUCGUAGUCAACCCCUUGAACUUGUGAUAACCCUUAGCGACAAGCCGAGCUUUAUAGAUGGUCAGAUUACCAUCCGCGUCUGUCUUCUUCUUAAAGAUCCAUUUAUUUUCUAUGGCUCGCCGAUCAACGGGCAAGUCAGUCAAAGUCCAUACUUCCUUUUCAUACAUGGAUCCUAUCUCAGAUUUCAUGGCUUCCAGCCAUUUGUCAGAAUCUGGGGCCGCCAUCGCUUCUUCAUAGUUCGAAGGUUCACCAUUGUCCAACAACAUGAUUUCCAGGAUAGGGUUGCCGUACCACUCUGGUGCGGAACGCGUCCUUGUGGACCUUUGAAGUUCAGUAGCAACUUGAUCUGAAGUUUCAUGAUCAUCAUCAUUAUCUUCCUUCCUAGUCGGUGCAGACACCUCAGGAACAAUUUCUUGAGCUGCGCCACUCUCUUGUUCAAGAGGCAAUACUUCAUCAAGUUCUACUUUCCUCCCACUUACUUCUUUCGAGAGAAACUCUUUCUCUAGAAAGGAUUCAUUCUUGGCAACAAAGGUCUUGCCUUCGGAUCUAAGAUAGAAGGUAUACCCAAUAGUUUCUUUAGGGUAUCCUAUGUAGACGCAUUUUUCCAAUUUGGGUUCGAGCUUUUCAGGUUGAAGUUUCUUGACAUAAGCAUCGCAUCCCCAAACUUUCAGAAACGACAUCUUAGGUUUCUUGCCAAACCACAAUUCAUACGGUGUCGUCUCAACGGAUUUCGACGGAGCCCUAUUUAAAGUGAAUGCGGCAGUCUCUAUAGCAUAACCCCAAAAUGAUAGCGGUAGAUCGGUAAGAGACAUCAUAGAUCGUACCAUAUCCAAUAGGGUGCGAUUACGACGUUCGGACACACCAUUACGCUGUGGUGUUCCAGGCGGCGUGAGUUGUGAAACUAUUCCACAUUUCCUUAAGUGCGUGCCAAAUUCGUGACUCAAAUAUUCUCUCCCACGAUCUGAUUGUAAGAACUUGAUUUUCCUCUCACGUUGAUUCUCAACCUCACUCUGAAAUUCCUUGAACUUUUCAAAGGUCUCAGACUUGUGUUUCAUUAAGUAGACAUACCCAUAUCUACUUAAGUCAUCGGUGAGGGUGAGGACAUAACGAUAGCCACCGCGAGCCUCAACGCUCAUUGGACCGCACACAUUAGUAUGUAUGAUUUCCAAUAAGUUGGUUGCUCGCUCCAUUGUUCCGAAGAACAGAGUCUUGGCCAUUUUACCCAUGAGGCAUGGUUCGCACGUGUCAAAUGAUUCAUAAUCAAGAGACUCCAAAAGUCCAUCUGCAUGGAGUUUCUUCAUGCGUUUGACACCAAUGUGACCAAGGCGGCAGUGCCAAAAGUAUGUGGGACUAUCAUUAUCAACCUUACAUAUUUUGGCAUUCACACUAUGAAUGUGUGUAACAUCACGUUCGAGAUUAAAUAAGAAUAAACCAUUGACCAGCGGGGCAUGACCAUAAAACAUGUCUCUCAUAUAAAUAGAACAACCAUUAUUCUCAGAUUUAAAUGAGUAGCCAUCUAGCAUUAAAUGAGAUCCAGAUACAAUGUUCAUGCUCAAAGCUGGUACUAAAUAACAAUUAUUGAGGUUUAAAACUAAUCUCGUAGGUAAAUGCAGAGGUAGCAUGCCGACGGCGAUCACAUCGACCUUGGAACCAUUCCCAACGCGCAUCGUCACCUCGUCCUUCGCCAGUCUCCGUUUAUUCCACAGUUCCUGUUUUGAGUUACAAAUAUGAGCAACUGCACCAGUAUCAAAUACCCAGGAGCUACUACGAGCACUGGUAAGGUACACAUCAAUAACAUGUAUAUCACAUAUACAUUUGGUAUUGUUGGCCUUCUUUUCCGCUAAGUACUUGGGGCAAUUCCGCUUCCAGUGACUGUCUCCCUUGCAAUAAAAGCACUCAGUCUCAGGCUUGGGUCCAUUCUUUGACUUCUUCCCGGCAGCUUGCUUACUGGGCGCGGCAAAUCCCUUGUCGUCCUUCUUGAAGUUCUUUUUACCCUUGCCUUUCUUCACUACUAGGGAAAAGGCUAGCAGCAGCGCGGGUUUUAGACCUAUCAGUAGCGCGGGGUGGUGCGCUACUGAUAAGGCGCUACAGCUAACGAAUAGCAGUAGCGUGCCUCCACCCACGCUACGACUAAAUAGACUUAGUAGCAGCGAGUUCCAGGAGGAGCGUUGCUGGUAAUUAGUAGUAGCGCUUCUCUCUGCCCGCGCUGCUACUAUUAUUUCGUAUUUUAUUUCUUUUUUAUUUCAUGUUGUAUUCGUACACCUUUACACAAAUUUUCAUACAACAGGAAUUUACAAAUUGUUUUUACAUCAUAAUGAGUUAUUACAUCACGGGGUGAAAGAACCGUGUGGACUAGUUUCAAGUGGACGGACAUCCACUUGAAACUAAUCCGCGGUUCUUUCACCCAAUGAUAUAAUAAAUAUCAUCAUCAUCAUAUCAUUAACAACUUAUCAUCAUCAUCAUCAUAUCAUUGGUCACUAGUCGUAAUCACAAGUAUUCCUGACAUCUUCAACUCUAACACAUUGUAUCACAUAAUAAACAUAUUGUACCUCAUAGGACCUACUACAUUCUCUUAGGACCUACUAUAUUCUCUAAGGUAAAAUAGAAAAAAACAAGAUAGCCCCUCGCUCUCCAUUAUGGAGAAUGCAGAUUAUCCUGUCUCCAAUUCUUGCCUUUCACUUAAUGUUGCUUCCAAGAAUCUCCUUACGAAUGUCCAAACAUUUUUUCCACUCUUUGAUUAGCAUGUGUUCACCGGUUUCAGAAAUUCGAUAUGCACAGGUGAGAUCCAUAGGAUGACCUGGCUGUAGGUUCAGAACUUCAAGGCGACCAUUGUAAUACAUCAAAUGAGGCACACAAUCCAUCGGGAUUUUCUAUUGAAAAACAUAGUAAUAACUUCAUAGUUAGCAAUGAUGUACUAGUUUUAGAAGUAUGCAAAAGAUGCACGGAUGUCGUAAUAGUAAAAUAUCUUACCAGGGUAUCUCCAUAGAAGUUAUCGUGGUUUAACACGUGCACUAGUGGCACGUAUUCACCAUAAUUUGGAGGAGUUCGAUAAUAGGUAUUGUAAUUCUCAAAAAAAGUACAAUAAGCAAUCAGAUGAUUUUUCUCCUUAUAAGUUAAUUCGGAGCCAUCAGUGUAGUGGGUUUUGUCUACCAUCUUCUCCACAUUCUUUGAAGAUUCAAAAUAAGCUAUCAAUGGAAAUAAGCUGUCAACUAUUUUGAAAUAAACAAUAUAAAUUAGUUAAUAACUAUGUUUGAGAAACUCACAUUGCGGUAGAAUCGGAAGCGUAUCAACAAGGACCCAAAUGUCCAUAUUGUCUUGCUCAAUGUCAGGAUGACCAAGAUCCAUGGUGACAAUCAUACCCUCAUAAAAACCAUACAUUUUGCAAAGUGCUUCCCAAUUUUGACAACCAAAAUGGGUUACGCUCUGAGAAUUAUACAGAUUUACUUCAAAAUCGAUAUCAUGAUGGGUCCUUAGGUGUAUUUUCUUUGUUUGAAAAUUUUAAUGGUCUUCAAAACCCAUCCUCUCCAAGACAUAGCAUCUUGCAUGGCAUGGGAUAAGCUAGUCAAAUUGUAAAAGAUGAAAAUUAGACAUUGAAAUAGGUGAAGUCAUGCUUAAUUACGAAAAAAACACUUGUCGUUGUUGCGUACCGUUUCAACAUCGAAGGUCUCCUCGAGCUUAAUGCUGAAGCGCCGAUCUUCGUCCAGCUCAACGAACCUGUCGCACAUACCUCGAUCGUCGUGGCACCAGCUGCACUCCCCCGGGAGACCGUCGUAGUCCGAGUACAACAUUUCCUAUGUUCAUAAUUCAAAGAUUAAACUUGUACAAUUAAAUAUAUGUACUAAAAAACCUAAAUUAGAUCAUUAUUUUUCAAAGAAAAUCCAGGCCACUCGAUAUUUCCCACAUAUUCUAGCACAAGUCAUGCCAGAAUUCACGGAAAAAUCCGGCAUGACCUUUGCUAAAAAAGGACAUAUCGAGCGCCUGAAAUUUGCCGAAACGGAAAUUAAUCAACACUCCGGCAAAACAUAGGCCACUCGGAGGUGUAACCAAAACAUGAAAUAAUUGCUUAAACUAAAAAAUAACACCAAAUAUGGCAUGUUCAACUAGUUCUAUUAAUUCAACUAGUUCUAUUAAUUCAACUAGUUCUUACUAAAUAUAAACUUAGUAUAAAAAGAAAAAAACCAGUUCUUUCUAAAAAUGAAGUAGUUCAACUAGUUAUUAAUUUACUUACUAUACUAGUUCAACUAAAACUUAACUAGUUCAACUAAAACUAAACUAGUUCUAUUAAUUCAACUAGUUCUUACUAAAUAUAAACUUACUAUAAAUAGAAAGAAACUAGCACAUCUAGUACUACUAAUUAACAUCUAACUACUACAUCUACUACUAAUUAACAUGUACUACUGCUAAUUAUACAACUAGUUUACCAUCACUACUAGUAAUUAAUAUCCACUACUUCUAAAAAUCAUUAUCUAUGAACCCUAAAUUAACAUCUACUACUACUAAAAUCAUGUACUAACUGAGCAAAGAGAGAGGGGGUUGGGGAGGGGUGGUGGGCUUACAGAGGGAGAGAUGGUGGCGGGGAGGUGCUCGGCAACGGAGGGGCGGCGAGGGCGGGCUCGGGAUCGGGAGGGCGGCGGUCCUGGGCGGCGGGCUCAGCAGGCUCGGUCGAGGGCAGCGGUGGUGAGGUCGAGGGCGGCGACAGUGUGGUCAAGAGCGGCGGCGGUGAGGUUGAGGGCGGGCGGAGGCGGCGGUGAGGGCGCAGGCGCACUCGGGCUCGGGCGGCGGCGACAUGGAGUAGGGGAACAGGCCGGUGGGGGGGGGAGGAGGACUUAGCGAAAUUUUGAUGCGGGGGGUGGUUAACUCGAACUAGCAGUAGCGCACGUAUAGAAAAUGCGCUAUAGCUAGCUUAUCUACAACGCGUUUUGGGAAAAACCGCUACUGCUAAUGGAAGCAGUUGUUUCUUUUGUUUAGUAAAAACAUCAAAAAUAUACAUUGGUCAUCAUUAAUCUUGUUGUGUAUAAUCUAAAUAGUCAACAUGAAUCCUCACUAUACCUGUAUAGGUACAGGCGAGGAUUCAUAUUGCAACCACAAAUCAUACACAUAUAGUUCAAUGAAGACCAAGUGCUCGAGAUAGGUUGAGAAGCAACAUAUUUAAGGUGGUAAACACCUUGUUCGCUUAGCAGUAUGGGACUAAACUUAAUUAGUUGCGGUCAUACUUACCAGCAGCGAGUUUUGAGCAAAACCGCUGCUACUAAGUUCUUUAGCAGUAGCGCGUCCACGGGAAGGGCGCUACUACUAUAUCUAGCCUGGAGGCAACACCGUGGCAAUUAUAGUAGUAGCUCUCUUUUCACCUAGAGCGCUACUGCUACUCAGUCAUUAGCAACGCUCUUUUCUAAAGCUCGUUGCUGCUAAUUAGCAGUAGCGUCUAUUUUUAGACCGCGCUGCUGCUAAGAUUCUGUGUAUAAGGUUUUCCCUAGUAGUGCUUGAACUUAGUGGUUUUAUUCACCAUCAACACUUGAUGUUCCUUUUUGAUUUCCACCUCCGCUGAUUUCAGCAUUGAAUAUUUCUCGGGAAUGGUCUUUUCCAUCCCCUGCAUAUUGAAGUUCAUCACAAAGCUCUUGUAGCUAGGUGGGAGCGACUGAAGGAUUCUGUCAACGACCGCAUCAUCCGGGAGAUUAACUCCUAGCUGAGACAAGCGGUUAUGCAGCCCAGACAUUUUGAGUAUGUGCUCGCUGACAGAACUGUUCUCCUCCAUCUUACAACUGUAGAAAUUGUCGGAGACUUCAUAUCUCUCGAUCCGGGCGUGAGCUUGGAAAACCAUUUUCAGCUCUUGGAACAUCUCAUAUGCUCCGUGUUGCUCAAAACGCUUUUGGAGCCCCGGUUCUAAGCUGUAAAGCAUGCCGCACUGAACCAGGGAGUAAUCAUCACUACGUGUCUGUCAAGCGUUCAUAAUGUCUUGUUCUGCAGGGAAAACAGGUACUUCACCUAGCGGUGUAUCAAGGACAUAUGCUUUCCUGGCAGCUAUGAGGAUAAUUUUCAGGUUACGGACCCAGUCCGUGUAGUUGCUGCCAUCGUCUUUCAGGUUGGUUUUCUCUAGGAACGCAUUGAAGUUGAGGGAAACAUUAGCGUGGGCCAUUUGAUCUACAAGACAUAUUGCAAAGAUUUUAGACUAAGUUCAUGAUAAUUAAGUUCAUCUAAUCAAAUUAUUUAAAGAACUCCCACUCAGGCAGACAUCCCUCUAGUCAUCUAAGUGAUACAUGAUCCGAGUCAACUAGGCCGUGUCUGAUCAUCACGUGAGACGUCAUCGGUGAACAUCUUCAUGUUGAUCGUAUCUUCUAUACGACUCAUGUUCGAACUUUGGGUCUUCCGUGUUUCGAGGCCAUGUCUGUACAUGCUAGGCUUGUCAAGUCAACCUAAGUGUAUUGCAUGUGUAAAUCUGGCUUACACCCAUUGUAUUCGAAUGUUAGAAUCUAUCACACCCGAUCAUCAUGUGGUGCUUCGAAACAACGAACCUUCGCAACGGUGCACAAUUAGGGGGAACACUUUCUUGAAAUUAUGUGAGGGAUCAUCUUAUUUAAGCUACCGUCGUUCUAAGCAAAUAAGAUGUAAAACAUGAUAAACAUCACAUGCAAUCAAAUAGUGACAUGAUAUGGCCAAUAUCAUUUGCUUCUUUUGAUCUCCAUCUUCGGGGUGCCAUGAUCAUCAUUGUCACCGGCAUGACACCAUGAUCUCCAUCAUCGUGUCUUCAUGAAUUUAUCUCGUCAUCUAUUACUUCUACUACUAUGGCUAACGGUUUAGCUAUAAAGUAAAGUAAUUACAUGACGUUUAUGUUGACACGCAUGUCAUAAAUAAAUUAAGACAACUCCUAUGGCUCCUGCCGGUUGUCAUACUCAUCGACAUGCAAGUCAUGAUUCCUAUUACAAGAACAUGAUCAAUCUCAUACAUCACAUAUAUCAUUCAUCACAUCCUUUUGGCCAUAUCGCAUCACAUGGCACAUGCUGCAAAAACAAGUUCGACGUCCUCUAAUUGUUGUUGCAAGUUUUUACGUGGCUGCUAUAGGUUUCUAGCAAGAACGUUUCUUACCUACGCCAAAACCACAACGUGAUAUGCCAAUUUCUAUUUACCCUUCAUAAGGACCCUUUUCAUCGAAUCCGAUCCGACUAAAGUGGGGGAGACAGACACACGCUAGCCACCUUAUGCAACUAGUGCAUGUCAGUCGGUGGAACCAGUCUCACGUAAGCGUACGUGUAAGGUCGGUCCGGGCCGCUUCAUCCCACGAUGCGGCCGAAUCAAGAUAAGACUAGUAAUGGCAAGUAAAUUGAAAAAAUCAACGCUCACAACAACUUGUGCUCUACUCGUGCAUAGAAACUACGCAUAGACCUAGCUCAUGAUGCCACUCUUGGGGAACGUAGCAGAAUUCUAAAAUUUUCUAUGCAUCACCAAGAUCAAUCUAUGGAGUCAUCUAGCAACGAGGGAGAGGGGAGUGCAUCUACAUACCCUUGUAGAUCGCGAACGAAAGCGUUCAAGAGAAUGGGGUUGAUGGAAUCGUACUCGUCGUGAUCCAAAUCACCGAUGACCUAGCGCCGAACGGACGGCAUCUCCGCGUUCAACACACGUACGGUUGGGAAGACGUCUCCUCCUUCUUGAUCCAGCAAGGGGAAGGAGAGGUUGAUGGAGAUCCAGCAGCACGACGGUGUGGUGGUGGAAGCAGCGGUGAUCUCUGCAGGGCUUCGCCAAUCUCCAAUGAGAGAGAGAGAGAGGUGUUACAUGGGGAGAGGGAGGCGCCAGAGACUUGGUGCGGCUGCCCUUCCUCCCCCACACUAUAUAUAGGGCCCCUAGGGGGGCGCCGGCCCUAGGAGAUGGGAUCUCCAAGGGGGGGCGCGGCGGCCAAGGGGGACUUGCCCCCCAAGCCAAGUGGGGCGCCCCCACCCCUAGGGUUUCCAACCCUAGGCGCAGGGGGAGGCCCAUGGGGGGCGCACCAGCCCACCAGGGGCUGGUUCCCCUCCCACUUCAGCCCAUGGGGCCCUCCGGGAUAGGUGGCCCCACCAGGUGGGCCCCCGGGACCCUUCCGUUGGUCCCGGUACAAUACCGAUUACCCCCAAAACUUUUCCGAUGGCCAAAACUGGACUUCCUAUAUAUAAAUCUUCACCUCCGGACCAUUCCAGAACUCCUCAUGACAUCCGUGAUCUCAUCCGGGACUCCGAACAACUUUCGGGUUACCGCAUACUAAUAUCUCUACAACCCUAGCGUCACCGAACCUUAAGUGUGUAGACCCUACGGGUUCAGGAGACAAGCAGACAUGACCGAGACGACUCUCUGGUCAAUAACCAACAUCGGGAUUUGGAUACCCAUGUUGGCUCCCACAUGUUCCAUGAUGAUCUCAUCGGAUGAACCAUGAUGCCGAGGAUUCAAUCAAUCCUGUAUCCAAUUCCCUUUGUCAAUCGUUAUGUUACUUGCCCGAGAUUCGAUCAUCGGUAUUCCAAUACCUCGUUCAAUCUCGUUACCGGCAAGUCACUUUACUCGUCCCGUAACACAUCAUCCCGUGACCAACCCUUAGUCACAUUGAGCUCAUUACGAUGAUGUUUUACCGAGUGGGCCCAGAGAUACCUCUCCGUCAUGCGGAGUGACAAAUCCCCGUCUCGAUUCGUGCCAACCCAACAGACACUUUCGGAGAUACCCGUAGUGCACCUUUAUAGUCACCCAGUUGCGUUGUGAUGUUUGGCACACCCAAAGUAUUCCUACAGUAUCCGGGAGUUGCACAAUCUCAUGGUCUAAGGAAAAGAUACUUGACAUUCGAAAAGCUCUAGCAGACGAACUACACGAUCUUGUGCUAUGCUUAAGAUUGGGUCUUGUCCAUCACAUCAUUCUUCUAAUGAUGUGAUCCCGUUAUCAAUGACAUCUAAUGUCCAUAGUCAGGAAACCAUGACUAUCUGUUGAUCAACGAGCUAGUCAACUAGAGGCUCACUAGGGACAUGUUGUGGUCUAUAUAUUCACACAUGUAUUACGAUUUCCGGAUAACACAAUUAUAGCAUGAACAAUAGACAAUUAUAAUGAACAAGGAAAUAUAAUAAUAACCAUUUUAUUAUUGCCUCUAGGGCAUAUUUCCAACAAGAACCAAGUACAAUCACCACUCUCUUUAGCAACAACAACAAGAGUUAACUGUAGUUGAUGGGCAAACCAAUGAACAUAGUAGGCAGAAGGAGAUUCAUCCAUAAUCAGUUUUUAGGCCAUUAGCAUUACCUUUCAUGUUGCUAGCUCCAUCAUAUCCUUGCCUACGAACCAUUGCAAAGGUCAAAUUGUACUUCAUAAGCAUUUGCUCAAUUGCAGCUUUAAGUGUCAAAGAGGUAGUAAAUUGAACAUGAGCAAGACCAAGAAAUCUUACGACAACCCUUCCUUUCUUUUUCUUAUCAACAUAACACAAGCAAAUUGCCAACUGUUCAUUCUGAUACACAUCACUAGACUCACCUGCAAGUAUUGCAAAGUGGCCACCAUCAAGUUCUUCAAUGACUAAUUUUGUAGUCUCCUGUGCACAACAUUUUAUUAACUCAUGUUGUAUAUCAUGGUGAGUCAUCUUGCAGUUUUGUGGAGCAUUUUUGAGAGCAACCCUAUCAACCUCUUCAAAAUUUCCAGCUAGCCAAUUUAAAAGCUCAAGAAAAUUUCCUUUAUUUAGUGAGUUUUCACUUUCAUCAUGUCCUCUAAAUGCCAAUUCUUAGUGCAAUAGAAAUCUCAAACAUUUGAGUGUCCAUGUCAAACGCUGCUUAUACAAAGCCUUAUAUUGUGAGGUAUUUGAAGCAAAAGACUCCCUAAUUGAUGCUUGUGGUGUGAACAUAUCAUACUUCUCUUGAGCUUCAGCAUGAGCACUACUAACCUCACCUUCAUGUUUCUUCAAUCUCGAUUUCAUGUUCCAGUUCCUAAAUCCAUUCUUCACAAAUGCAUCUCCACCGGGAUAUUUUUUCUUAUCCUUGAACAGAUAGCAAACAAAGCAGAAAGCACUAUCUUUUGUCACACUAUACUCAAUCCAUGGAAAUUCUUUAAACCAAGCACGACAAAAGUGACGGUCAACUCCACUUUUAUUUGUAUACUCAAAGUUAUGAUUCUUUGGUUGACAUGGCUUCAUCUCAAUAUAUCUUCUUCUUACUCUAUCUUGGUCAUUGACAGCAUACAUUGAGAUGGGAAUCCGCUUCCCAGGAUCAGGUUCGAGUGCCUCCAAAUCUGCUUCCAUUGGUUCAUCAUCUGCAUCACUUGUUCCACCAUCUUUAUCAAUUGGGGUUGGGGUUGCUUCUCUGCUCCCCGGUUCACAUUCCACAUCCGGUGCUUGCACUAACGCCAAUUGCAAAUUGCUCUCAAGCUGAACAUGAGAGGUACAAGUACCCGAUGCAGCUGCACUCUGAUUCGGUGUAGACAUUUCAUCAAUCUUGUUUGCUUUUGAAGCUUUUUCCCACAAUGCAAGAAUCCUAUUUCCACCACCAGUCCCAUUCUUCUUCUUCAUCUACAUUACAACAAAACAAGGAAGAAAUUAGCAUCUACAAAUUAACAAAACAAGGAAGAAUCCUACUCCAGCUGCAAAAUCGAAUCAACUAAAAUACUGAAACUCUGUUUUCUUUAAUACUGUACCUGAACGCAGGGCACUGACGCAGGUGGGAGAAAGAAACUGCCGCUAGGCGCUGGACCCUGGGCUGGGCGGCGCCGCGGCGGGCGAUGGGCGGCUGGGGCGGGGCGGGGCGUCGUCGCAGCGAUGCAGUCUGAGGGGCGGCCGGCGGACGGCGAGCACCGGUGGCGCUGAGCGGCUAAGGGCGGAGCGGGGGCGGGGCGGUGGCCGGUGACUUGGUGAGCGGGAGCGGGGGUCGCUCGCGCUGGUCGCUGGAAUGGAUACCCUUUCUUCUUUGAAGUGGUGUUCUCUUGGAACUAAUAUUUGUAUUGAACUUAUAAAGGAUGAGCGGGUUGGUAGUCACAACCGCGGCAUCCACGUCGACUGUGAAUAGGCCUGCGACUCGCGCGGCAGCGAACGAAAAAGCGGCAGCGAAAGAAAAAUAAAUGACCCCACGUCCUCCCACGCCCCUUCCUCCUCCUCUCACGAGUCACGCCCGACCCCCUCCUCCUCCUCCUCUCCUCCUCCUCCUCCUCCUCCCGUCCUUCCUCAAAACCCUAGCCACCGCCCCCUCCUCCUCCCACCUCAGCCGCCGCUGCCGCCUCCUCCUCCUCAUCCUCCCACCUCAGUCGCCUCCUAGGAGAGCUCGACACGAUGGGGUGGCCGUGGAGUGCGCCCCGUCCGGAGAGACAAGGCGGCUCCCGAGCAGGGCAUCCGACAGCGCUGGCUUCUCCUCCCCUGCGCCACCGCUGCCCACCCCUCCUCAUCUCGUGCGGGCACGGAGGUGAGCUUCUCCGACGGCGGCGGCGACCUACAGUCAAAGGGCGACGGCGCUCGAUUUGAUCUACAGGAGAGAGAGAAGAUGAGAGGGAGAGAGAGAAGGAAGGAGAGGAGGUAGAAAUAGAGAGGAAAGAGGAGAGGGAUGUGCCGCGGCCGACGGGAGAGGGUCACCGGAAGGAACAACUGGUCAUCGUUCACACCGCGCUGGGCCAGAGAUGGCUCUGUACAGCCCACACGUCUGCAGGUUCCUUCUUCCUUCCUGCUCCUCUCCUCUUUUGAUUAGCUGUAACUGCAUGUUUGGGUCAGUGCUAUGCCUGCUGUCGCUGGGCAGUACUUUAGGCAAGUCAACCUUCCAAUUCAGUACACGUCUGCACAAGGAGAAGAGCCCCUGUUAGCUUUUCUUUUUGCAGAUUAGCCCAAUAAUCUACAUCAGUCGAUUUGAGGGUAUGUUGAAUGUGAUAUUUAAUGAACAUGGUCAUUCUGUUGUUCAGAGUACACAAGUGGUUACCCUUGAAGUCUCCUCCUUGCCCCGCUUAUUCAUUAAGGUAAUAUUUUGAUUUUCUCAAUUUGUCGCUUCAGUUCCACAUUAACCAUGAAUUGUUGUGUGUAAAUACUCAUAUCCCGUUAAGUUCAUGUGUAUAAAUCAAGUGGGUUGAAGUGUACUGUGAAUUUCCUGAAAAAGUUUACUUGAGAUAUUAUAUGCAUGGUGUGGAUUGUUGAGUUUGCUUGGUUAAUGCCAUGCCUGUGCAGAUCAACAGGGGGGAGGUCCAGGGUGAGACCUUCAAGAGGGAUUUGAUGUUGCUAUUAUUUCAGUUUGCAGAUAGAGGAUGUGAUUCCAGCAAGACAGUGACGAUGGCGAUGACAAGUGAGAUUUAUGUUAAGGAGUAUUAGCAUAUGCUCAUAGGAUCACUAGAAGCAUAUAAAGGUAUCCACAAUGAUGAUUGCUUUCUUAUCGACAAAGAGUUGAAUUAUAAUUAUAGACGGUAAGAGUAGUACCUUUAUAAUCAUAGCUGUAUGCAAUGAUCCAUCAUGUAUUUCUGUUUAAAACCGCAACAUGUAAUUAUUUGAUGUCGUGAAAUGUCUAUAUAUAUAUAUUUUGUUUACAUUCUUAAGUUAGCCUCCAGACUAUCUACAUUGUCAUGGUAACCUUGGUAGGUUAUAAUAUGCAGAUCGAUAAUCCCGGUUCAGUUUGAGCUUUCCAACUUAACUUAACUUAACAGUAUAGUGUUAAUAUUAGGAUCACAACUUAACUUAAAUUAGCAGUAUAGUGUCAAUGGGCAUCAUCUGAAGCUAAUAAGAUGUUGUUACUGAAGAACAGCCCCUUGCUACUUACUUGAACAGUACGUGAAAAACACCCUAAAUAGAUUAAAGAAAUCAUACUUGACUGUGAUUGCAUUUGGUUGACGCUUACGUGUAUUUCUCAUCGGUAGAUCAAGGGGGUAAUCUUCUACAUUUCAGGUCCAAGCUUUCAAUGAAUUUUUCUAUCUUUUUUUCAUAUCCCAAUCAUCGUCUGCAAGGCCGAAGCAUCCAUGUCUAUAUGGUUUUGUGGCACUGAGUUCGUUCCAUGCCAGUUUAUUUCUAACAGUUGGUCUGCUUCUUCAUAGAGAUUUUAUCAGUAUACUAAAUUAAAUAAGAAACUGAAUGUGUACUGCUUUCACCUUCAGUUUGAACAUGAUUGUCCUAUUUGUGACAUAGGUGAAAAUUAGCAAGCAAGCAACAGUCGGUGCAUGGAUGACCAAGUUUACUUUUUACUUUAUGAAGAUGAUGAUUCCUAAAUAGAAUUACGAGCUAGGUCCUGCAUGUUGACCGUGCUUCAAGGUACAGUUGUUCAUGCCUUAUAAAAUUGUAAUGCUUUUUAUUGGUUGUGCAUCCUAGGACCAAAAGCUUGAUUCAUAGAUAGCCGAAGAACUGAGGAAUUUUACUCUCUGUCGUUGCAGGGUAGAAGAGAAUGGGAGGAGGGGACGCGCGCUCCAUAUUUUGUUAUGCACACCUUCCUAAACUAUACUUUUCUUCUUAACAUAUGUUCAUUGUCCAGCAGAAGCUGUAGAUUUUAGCGUACAAUAAUUUCCAAAAUGGUAGAAGGUAAGAACCAUGUUACAUGAUCCUUUUGUGUUCUCUUGAUUUAAAUUAACACGUACCUGUUAAACUUGGUGAUGAUUUUCGAGGUGUAUUUAUAAAUUAUCUGCCAAGGUUAUUCCUUCAGGCAAUUUUUUUCUUCUGAAGCCUAGGCAUAUUGGUUGUUUGGUUGGCUCUCUUUACUAGCAGGAAGAUAACUACUACGUGUUGCUUAGUUGUGUUGCUUAGUUAUUAGCGGAUUGACUGUAUGAAUUAUCUUAUGUUCACCCAGAGUUAUAGGUUUCUAAAUACUAGGCUCUUGGGACUUAAUUCUAAUGGUUAGUUUUUUUGGAUUCAUGUACUCCGGUGCUACAGCCUAGGUAAAGCUCCUUCACAAUAGUAUUUAAAGCUUAUAUUGGUAACUCCAUCAGAGUUCAAGCAUUAGGCUCUCUGCUCUGUGUAUUGCAAAGUGUUCUAUAUAAUGCUUUGAUGUUCCUUUGUCACUGUUUGAUGUUCUACCUGGGUGGCCUCUGUCUUGGUUUACAGCUCCAUAUGGCUACCUAUGUAUACCUAUGUAGAUUUUGUUUGAACUGUACUCAAAUCGUGCAUAUGUUUCUAUAUUCUUGCCUUCCUCUUUUUAACUCAUGAGAUUGUUAGAUAGUUGAAUAUCAUUGGUCUCUGUCGGCAUUCUAUUUUCGCAGUUUGAAAUGAGUAUUGGUCCAUUGAUAUUAAACUUCACAAUAGGUAGUGGCAUCUUCAGGAAAAAGUAGUGGCAAAUAUGCUAGAGAUUUCUUUUUUGCUGCAGGAAUGACACUAUUGCCCAAAUCCUCAACACAUAUUUUUUAGUAACUGAGAGGAUUAUUCACCUUUGCUGUUGUAGGCAUUCAAGAUCUGGCAGGGCUGGGUCAACCGGCCCUUCGUGUUCAAGACCUGGCUCUGAUGAGCCUUGACAGUCCUGCUACCGGCUGGGCAUCGUCAUCCUGAGCCAUGUCCGGAACCAGACCAGUAGGGGCACCCUAAGCGAGCACUCGAGGCAUGCUGUCAAGUUGGACAAGUGCAACCAGGCCAGCUGUUGUGUGUGUCCACGGUUACAUUGUUGUAUUGUUGGUUAAAGACAAUGUUUUUCUUCUUGAAUUAUGAAACCUCGAACAACAGUUGGAUAUAAUCGUUUUGUUCGUUUUGCAAUCAAAGCUUCCAUCGAAUAAUAUUUUAGAAUUGUGCUCUGUCUUAUUCAUAAACUGUGGCUAUUUUGUAGAUUCAUACACGAUACGGCUUUGUGUGCAUUGAAAUAGCAACAAGUUGGCCUCUCGGUCUCAUUUAUGUAUACAUUUGACUCAUACACGCAGCCAGCAUGUCCAUGUGAUCUGGAUGAAUUUCUCUAUCCUGUUUUAUGUUGUGAUGUCUUUGAUUUUUUGUCUCUUCCAGAUUUACAUAUAGAUGCCUCGGUGAAUACUCAAGAAUUUUGUGUUCUUUUCUAUUGACGGCCUUUAGGUAUUUUAUUUUUAUUUUUAUAAUGAUUCUGAAACGAGGUCACUCCCUACUAAUCUUGCUCUCCAGGCCUGGUGGCGGGAUGCUUGGUCAAGAAUGCAGGGUGAGUAAAACAAAACGCUUUUAUCUCUCUGGUCAUCUAGAGCAUAUGGAGGAGCAAGAUAGCGGGCUUUGACAGUGUCUUCACACCGCCCCAGAGGGGGUGCCACUGAGGGCUUUCUCAUGGAACACGGUGCAAUGUGGUUUUAUGCACGCCUAUGAGCAGGCUACCCUGCACGCUGGUCUUCUACUGCUUUCCCAGGCAUAUUACUUCCCCGUGAGAUGCUUCCAAGGGCUCUAUUCGGCUCCAUUGUAUUUUUCUUCUUUUUUGAUUGCUUUUCCUUCUCUGUUUCUUUUUUAUAUGCAAGGCCAUAAAUUUUUACCAUGCAUCCUUGCUCGCAUAGAAAAUUACUUCAAAAUACACAUGCUUCUAAAAAUGCACAUCCUUUUCAAAACUAUGUAUAUCUUAUUAUCAAAGAUUAUAAGGCAGAAUGUGUUUGCCCACGACUAAAACAAGUAAUACAUUGUACUUUUUUCAAAGCACACAUGGAAUUAGCGGGCUCCUUCAGGUAUUUCAAGGGAAAAGCAGAAUAUGUUUAACUAAUUUUCUAUAUUGCUUAUUUAUGCAUUUGUGACCAUAGCUUUCCACUUUAGCUCAUAAACUGGAUGGCAAAAUAGAGUUUGCCCAUUUCAUAUCUAUGUUGUCUUAUUAGGAAAAAAGAUUUUGUUUAAUAGCUGAUGCUUAAUAUGUUUUAUCGACCGUUGAAUGCUCAACUUUAGCUCAUAAACUAGAUGGCAAAUGCUAAUUCUGAUGGGGCUUUUCGCACUUAUUGUUUUAUUGUUGUCUAGACAGCUGAUGGCAUGCUUCUUUCUUGCUAAUUGUCAAUUCUUUUGUACAGGGUCCCUCAGCUACUUAUGCUUUGGUAGACAAUAAGAGUAUGUAGAUAGCAUGUAUGGUUUUUACAUUGUUUUGCGUAGGUUGACAUGCAUCACAUGAUGUUUUCCUUUUACGUUUAUGAGUAUUACAUAGUCCUUUCUUUUUCCACAAGGGGCAGUAGUUGUGCCAUUCGAUUCGAAGGACAAAGAGUUGAUCACAAAGGCGUAGCAUUCAGGAUAUAUACACAAAAGAGUAUAGAACCAAAUUAUAUGAUGUAAUUGACCACUUUCUAUUAACUUCUCUUGUAUACAAUGUUCACGAGUUCAUGUAUUAAGUACAUUUUAUUGUGUCACUUGUGUUUACUCUUUUUUUAAUGCAAGUUUACAGCUACUCAGAGUUCCUAAUUGUAGACUCAACUAUCUUGACCUACUGAUGAUCUAAUUUGUGGCAUUAUUACCUUAAGAAAAUAUUUGCAUUUAAUUUUCUUUAUAUAUAGGGGUAUAAGUUCUGACCAAAUGUACUCAAAUAUACGGUUAUUGAAAAAAUGCAAACAUUUUCAACACGAACAUGGUUUUAAACGGGUCUUUGCGUCAUUUGGCGCAACUGGUCAUCUAGUUAUUACAAAUGGCAAGAUCUUCAUAGGGGAGAGGCCAACCUUUCCUGCUUGGUGUUGUAAAUUUGUACAUGACAUCUCUUCUUGCAGAUAGAGUUAAUGCUUACCAAAGCUCCUGGAUUGGAUUAGUAAUCUCCAUUAGAUAAAUAGGUAGGUAGGAAAGUGUUGAUUUUCCGUUCUUUUCUUGGUUCCCUUUGUAAGCAUUUUUUGCUUGCUUUUGUUUUGAUGGAAUAAAGGACUGUGGAGCUGUUGCUCCAUACUCCCUCCGUUCGGAAUUACUUGUCUUGGAAAUGGAUGUAUCUAGAACUAAAAUACGUCUAGAUACAUCCAUUUCUGCGACAAAUAAUUCCGAACGGAGGGAGUAAUAGUUACAAAAAUCUGAGAUUUUCUUGAUUUUUCACUAGUAUGAUUACACUCCUUCACAAGGAUCUUAUGCCAUGCAUGUUGGAGAUUUAUUUCAAUAGUUCCAUAAUAUGUUUUGAAUGCUGUUGCUAUCUAGUUCAGUUAGAUGCUUAUUAUCCAGACCAACAAAAAUUCUUUAGCAAGGGUCUCUACAAGAAUAUGUUUCAUCCUACUCUACUAGCAAAAACCGAUGGAGUUGCUCGUAGUGACAUGGAAAAGAAACCAUAAUCUUUUUGUAUUGAUAAGUAAAGAAACUGAAAUUUGCAACUGCAAAUCAGGGGAUCUUAAUGUCAAAUACUGAAUGCUUCCACAACUAGUUGUGAGACAUAUUCAUUGCAGUGCCAAAUAAAGAACCUUAUUCAUGAAUUAAUAACAGCAAGACAAUGGUCCGCGUGUUGUAUAUAAUAAAUAUCACACAGGUUUUGUAUAUGUGUAGCCGGUUCUAGAAUUUACAUAUGCAUGCUCGAGAACCUAUGUUCGUACAUACAUACACAGACCAUAUAGAAUGAAAAAUAUGCUCUGGUCGUCCAGCAGAGUCGUGGACAAAAGUGACGUUCACAAAAGACCUUCAUACAUAGGCCAUUGUUUCAACUCGUAGUUUAGGCCUUGCCAGACUCCUCGCAACCCGGUGGCCUGAAGGCGAUGAAGCUGACGCACUGCACCUGGCGCAG